rnacentral:piRNA from 1 species
UCUAAGCCACUCUGAUUUAGAGAGUUAGGA